UUUUACAGCGUCCCUGAGCCUAAUUUACCCUGUUCCUCAUCCCCACCACGGCCUGCUUGCUUCAAUUCCCAACCAAAACAGAGCAGUCCAGCUGUUGACUUGACCCCGCCGCCACCAAUUCACCACCGUCGUCGUCGCCGCCGCCGCCGGGGCUCCCUUCUCCUGCUCCCCGCUACCCACUCCCCUGCCCUCAGAAACAGUUAAUUCAGAUGAAAACCAAUGGAUCAUCUGCCAAGAGUCAGGAAAUCGGGUCAAAAAGAAAGUGGAAGAACCAACAUGAACAUACAGCGAAGCAGAUCGCAUGGCAUUCCUUUGGGUACCAAGGCCACUAUCCGCAACAGAGGCCUGCACGGGAUGGUGCUUCACUCACCCCCUUGCCAGGGAGGCAAAAUGAUUUCCAUGUUUCAGGAGAUCGAUUCUUUCUGACGUCCAGCCCAUACCAACAAGAUCUGGAAAGUAGGUACAUCCAGGACAAAAUGAACGGUGUAAUCACUUGUUUGGUCUGUGGCAGCCAAGGACAUUACAGUUCUGAGUGCCAUUUCAAGGACCAAGAGCACAAAAUCAUUUGCGCAGUCUGUAGCAAAAAUGGCCACUGUAGCAUGUGGUGUUGCCAGCAGAACAAGUUGGAGAAUCGCGCUUGCACCCGCUGUGGAGAGAUAGGGCAUACUACCAGUACACAUGGUCUCGGUUGCUCAAGCUGUGACGAGUAUCAUGACGAUGGAGAGUGCCGUUUAAGCCAAGUUAAAUGCUUUAUCUGUGAAUGUCAAGAUCAUUAUCUUGCUCAGUGCCCCUUGAAUUCAGUAUUGACUGAGGCAUUUCAGGGUCAGAGACGGAACUUCCAAGCCGCUCUGCGGCUUGCACUAUCAAAACAACGCAACCCAUCAUCUACACCUGCCAAGUAUUACGCAAAAUCAGAAGGAGAAGUACUGACCGCCAACAAGUCUAGUCCAAUUUGCUUUACAUGCCGUGAAGAAGGUCACUUUGCCUUUCAGUGUCCUCAGAACAGCCCCGGCCAGUCCGAAGAACUUGAAGAGAGCAACACUAUAGCUACAUCCGCCAACCUGUCCGAAGAAUUAGAAGAACGGGACCCUGAUACAGGUACUGCUAAACAAUCAUCAGAAAGGAAGCCGAUAUUGUACGAUCAGUGUUGCCCCUCAAAAGCAAAAGUACUGACCCCCAACAAGUCUAGUCCAAUGGUUAGAACAUGUAAAACAAAAACAGAAGGGAAGAAAAGGAUGUGCUUUACAUGCCGUGAAGAAGGUCACUAUGCCUGUAUGUGUCCGCAGAAGCUCGGAGCUAUAUCUGGCAACACGUCAAAAGAAUUAGAAGAGAGCAGCACUAUACCUACAUCCUCCAACAUGUCCAAAGUAUUGGAAGAACAGGGCCCUGGUACUGCUAAACAUUCAUCAGACAUGAAGUGGGUUGUUCGAUGUGUUAGCUGUGGUCAGGAAGGGCACAGGGCCAGGAGCUGUCCAACACGAGUGUUUAUAUGCUCCUUAUGCAAUGAAGAAGGCCACAAAGCCAAGAAAUGCCCUCAGAAGGGCCAGAAAUCAUCAGAAAUGAAGCGUAAAUCGAAUGUCCGAUGUGUAAGGUGUGGCUUGGAAGGGCACAGGCGCAAAACAUCAAUCAUAGACCGUCCGCAAGUCUAGUCCUUUGGUUACAGUAGACAACACAUCAACACAAGUGGUUACAUGCUUCCGUUGCAAGGAAGAAGGCCACUGUGCCAAUCGAUGCCCUCAGAAGCACCAGAAGCGUUAAGACUGUUCCAGCAAGAGCUAUCGCUAAAGCAAACAGCAUUACAUUUUCAAUCACGCCGAGAAGCAGCUUGGGAAGAGAUCUUGGCACUGAAGAUACAACCAAGGGGAAAGAUACUCACUGAGCUGAGCCAGACCUCCUCCCUUGACUAAAAAGUUACUGCACAGUUACCGUCUUUUUCUUUAGAUACUCUAGCGGUUGAAAAGUUUCCAAGGAAGGGCAUUUUAUAUCAUGUGUUUUUGGAAUGUCUUUCUCUGAGAUGAUGUUGGUGCCAAUUGACGAUCUGAUGAGAAGACAUUCCCAAGAUGGGAUUCACAACCACUUGCAUUGUGCAAGUCUACUGGCAUAUUCUUUGGUAGUAAAUGCUUCUCCAUACUUCAUGUACUUGAUGAAUAAGUGUACGGGAUACAUCUGGGGCAUCAGUAGACAGCACAGAGGAUGGAAAGUGGAAACUCGCCGUGUGUAAUUCGAAUUAUCCGGCGUUCGUAUUUUGCUCACUAGGUUUGAUGGCUUGUCUGUAUAAGGGCUGAAACUGUGUGCUCUUGAGGGCUCAUCUUUGAGAGUGGGGUGUUUUGGAGCCCCUUUCUGUGUUUUUUUUUGAAAAAAAUUGCAAAUCAUAUUUUUUAAAGUUUACAAAAUAUCUGAAAGUAUACAGAAGUACAGAAGGAUGUAUUCUACAUGUUUUUAAAGUUUCAUGAUGAAUCUUGAAGA